GACGAACGCUGGCGGCGUGCCUAACACAUGCAAGUCGAGCGAGUGAAUCUCCUUCGGGAGUGAAGCUAGCGGCGGACGGGUGAGUAACACGUGGGCAACCUGCCUCAUAGAGGGGAAUAGCCUUUCGAAAGGAAGAUUAACACCGCAUAAGAUUGUAGCUUCGCAUGAAGUAGCAAUUAAAGGAGCAAUCCGCUAUGAGAGGGGCCGGGGGCGCAUUAGCUAGUUGGUGAGGUAACGGCUCACCAAGGCGACGAUGCGUAGCCGACCUGAGAGGGUGAUCGGCCAAAUUGGGACUGAGACUCGGCCCAGACUCCUACGGGAGGCAGCAGUGGGGAAUAUUGCACAAUGGGGGAAACCCUGAUGCAGCAACGCCGCGUGAGUGAUGACGGCCUUCGGGUUGUAAAGCUCUGUCUUCAGGGACGAUAAUGACGGUACCUGAGGAGGAAGCCACGGCUAACUACGUGCCAGCAGCCGCCGUAA
rnacentral:rRNA from 1 species